rnacentral:rRNA from 1 species
UGCUUAACCAUGCAAGUCGAGCGGUAAGGCCCUUCGGGGUACACGAGCGGCGAACGGGUGAGUAACACGUGAGCAACCUGCCCCUGACUCUGGGAUAAGCGGUGGAAACGCCGUCUAAUACCGGAUACGACCCGCCACCUCAUGGUGGAGGGUGGAAAGUUUUUCGGUCAGGGAUGGGCUCGCGGCCUAUCAGCUUGUUGGUGGGGUAACGGCCUACCAAGGCGAUUACGGGUAGCCGGCCUGAGAGGGCGACCGGCCACACUGGGACUGAGACACGGCCCAGACUCCUGCGGGAGGCAGCAGUGGGGAAUAUUGCGCAAUGGGCGAAAGCCUGACGCAGCGACGCCGCGUGGGGGAUGACGGCCUUCGGGUUGUAAACCUCUUUUACCACCAACGCAGGCUCGAAGUUUUCUUCGGGUUGACGGUAGGUGGGGAAUAAGGACCGGCUAACUACGUGCCAGCAGCCGCGGUAAUACGUAGGGUCCGAGCGUUGUCCGGAAUUAUUGGGCGUAAAGAGCUCGUAGGCGGCGUGUCGCGUCUGCUGUGAAAGACCGGGGCUUAACUCCGGUUCUGCAGUGGAUACGGGCAUGCUAGAGGUAGGUAGGGGAGACUGGAAUUCCUGGUGUAGCGGUGAAAUGCGCAGAUAUCAGGAGGAACACCGGUGGCGAAGGCGGGUCUCUGGGCCUUACCUGACGCUGAGGAGCGAAAGCAUGGGGAGCGAACAGGAUUAGAUACCCUGGUAGUCCAUGCCG